rnacentral:rRNA from 1 species
AGUGAACGCUGGCGGCAUGCCUAACACAUGCAAGUCGAACGGCAGCACAGUAAGAUUUUGCUCUUACGGGUGGCGGGUGGCGGACGGGUGACGAAUACAUCGUACUCUUCCUUUUCGUGGGGGAUCACGUAGCGAAACUUACGCUACUACCGCAUACUCCCUACCGGUGUAAGCGUUGGAUCUUCUUGCCUUUCGCGAUUGUAUUAGCCGGUGUCGGACUAGCUAGUUGGCGGGGUAAAGGCCCACCAAGGCGACGAUCCGUAGCUUGUCUGAGAGGAUGAUCGGCCACACUGGAACUGAGACACGGUCCAGACUCCUAAGGGAGGCAGCAGUGGGGAAUAUUAGGCAAUGGGCGAAAGCCUGAUCCAGCCAUACCGCGUGAGUGAAGAAGGCCUUCGGGUUGUAAAGACCUUUUGUUGGGAAAGAAAAGCAGCAGGUUAAUACGCCGCUGUUCUGACGGUACCCAAAGAAUAAGCACCGGCUAACUUCGUG